UACAGAGGUCCCAAGCGUUGUUCGGAUUCACUGGGCGUAAAGGGUGCGUAGGCGGUUUGACAAGUCUGAUGUGAAAUCCCGCAGCUUAACUGCGGAACUGCAUUGGAAACUGUUUGACUAGAGGAAUGGAGGGGAGACUGGAAUACUUGGUGUAGCAGUGAAAUGCGCAGAUAUCAGGAAGAACACCCGUGGCGAAGGCGGUUCUCUGGGACGGUACUGACGCUGAGACGCGAAAGCGUGGGGAGCGAACAGG
rnacentral:rRNA from 1 species